GUCCUGUGAACCCGUGCUGGUCACUGCAGGUGCCGGGGUCAUCGGCUUCCUCUUCUGGAGGAGCAUUCUAUCUGUCAAAAGCAAGUCAUAUCUAAAGAUGGUGGACAGGAUGAAAAAGCUUGAACAAGAGAAGAAGGAGAUACUCCAAAAGG